rnacentral:lncRNA from 1 species
CUUAUAUAUACACAUAUGUACAGAUGUCUCUGUCCGUAGUAACUAACUAGGUGUGUAUUCAUUUCUUAAGGAUCCCAAACAGAAAAAUAAAUGAACAAAUUGCUUUCAAAUCGUAUUCAAAUCUCUUUCAAAUAGUAAUUCUUAUAUUUGUUAGAAUCAUUUGCUUGCGAUUCAUUAAACAAAUCAUAAACAAAUCAGAAUUUUCCAAAUCCCC